UUAAGCGACUAAGCGUACACGGUGGAUGCCCUGGCAGUCAGAGGCGAUGAAGGACGUGCUAAUCUGCGAUAAGCGUCGGUGAGGUGAUAUGAACCGUUAUAACCGGCGAUUUCCGAAUGGGGAAACCCAGUGUGUUUCGACACACUAUCAUUAACUGAAUCCAUAGGUUAAUGAGGCGAACCGGGGGAACUGAAACAUCUAAGUACCCCGAGGAAAAGAAAUCAACCGAGAUUCCCCCAGUAGCGGCGAGCGAACGGGGAGGAGCCCAGAGCCUGAAUCAGUGUGUGUGUUAGUGGAAGCGUCUGGAAAGGCGCGCGAUACAGGGUGACAGCCCCGUACACAAAAAUGCACAUACUGUGAGCUCGAUGAGUAGGGCGGGACACGUGGUAUCCUGUCUGAAUAUGGGGGGACCAUCCUCCAAGGCUAAAUACUCCUGACUGACCGAUAGUGAACCAGUACCGUGAGGGAAAGGCGAAAAGAACCCCGGCGAGGGGAGUGAAAAAGAACCUGAAACCGUGUACGUACAAGCAGUGGGAGCCUCUUAAUGGGGUGACUGCGUACCUUUUGUAUAAUGGGUCAGCGACUUAUAUUCUGUAGCAAGGUUAACCGAAUAGGGGAGCCGAAGGGAAACCGAGUCUUAACUGGGCGUUAAGUUGCAGGGUAUAGACCCGAAACCCGGUGAUCUAGCCAUGGGCAGGUUGAAGGUUGGGUAACACUAACUGGAGGACCGAACCGACUAAUGUUGAAAAAUUAGCGGAUGACUUGUGGCUGGGGGUGAAAGGCCAAUCAAACCGGGAGAUAGCUGGUUCUCCCCGAAAGCUAUUUAGGUAGCGCCUCGUGAAUUCAUCUCCGGGGGUAGAGCACUGUUUCGGCAAGGGGGUCAUCCCGACUUACCAACCCGAUGCAAACUGCGAAUACCGGAGAAUGUUAUCACGGGAGACACACGGCGGGUGCUAACGUCCGUCGUGAAGAGGGAAACAACCCAGACCGCCAGCUAAGGUCCCAAAGUCAUGGUUAAGUGGGAAACGAUGUGGGAAGGCCCAGACAGCCAGGAUGUUGGCUUAGAAGCAGCCAUCAUUUAAAGAAAGCGUAAUAGCUCACUGGUCGAGUCGGCCUGCGCGGAAGAUGUAACGGGGCUAAACCAUGCACCGAAGCUGCGGCAGCGACACUAUGUGUUGUUGGGUAGGGGAGCGUUCUGUAAGCCUGUGAAGGUGGCCUGUGAGGGUUGCUGGAGGUAUCAGAAGUGCGAAUGCUGACAUAAGUAACGAUAAAGCGGGUGAAAAGCCCGCUCGCCGGAAGACCAAGGGUUCCUGUCCAACGUUAAUCGGGGCAGGGUGAGUCGACCCUAAGGCGAGGCCGAAAGGCGUAGUCGAUGGGAAACAGGUUAAUAUUCCUGUACUUGGUGUUACUGCGAAGGGGGGACGGAGAAGGCUAUGUUGGCCGGGCGACGGUUGUCCCGGUUUAAGCGUGUAGGCUGGUUUUCCAGGCAAAUCCGGAAAAUCAAGGCUGAGGCGUGAUGACGAGGCACUACGGUGCUGAAGCGACAAAUGCCCUGCUUCCAGGAAAAGCCUCUAAGCAUCAGGUAACAUUAAAUCGUACCCCAAACCGACACAGGUGGUCAGGUAGAGAAUACCAAGGCGCUUGAGAGAACUCGGGUGAAGGAACUAGGCAAAAUGGUGCCGUAACUUCGGGAGAAGGCACGCUGAUAUGUAGGUGAAGCGACUUGCUCGUGGAGCUGAAAUCAGUCGAAGAUACCAGCUGGCUGCAACUGUUUAUUAAAAACACAGCACUGUGCAAACACGAAAGUGGACGUAUACGGUGUGACGCCUGCCCGGUGCCGGAAGGUUAAUUGAUGGGGUUAGCGGCAACGCGAAGCUCUUGAUCGAAGCCCCGGUAAACGGCGGCCGUAACUAUAACGGUCCUAAGGUAGCGAAAUUCCUUGUCGGGUAAGUUCCGACCUGCACGAAUGGCGUAAUGAUGGCCAGGCUGUCUCCACUCGAGACUCAGUGAAAUUGAACUCGCUGUGAAGAUGCAGUGUACCCGCGGCAAGACGGAAAGACCCCGUGAACCUUUACUAUAGCUUGACACUGAACAUUGAGCCUUGAUGUGUAGGAUAGGUGGGAGGCUUUGAAGUGUGGACGCCAGUCUGCAUGGAGCCGACCUUGAAAUACCACCCUUUAAUGUUUGAUGUUCUAACGUGGGCCCGUAAUCCGGGUUGCGGACAGUGUCUGGUGGGUAGUUUGACUGGGGCGGUCUCCUCCUAAAGAGUAACGGAGGAGCACGAAGGUUGGCUAAUCCUGGUCGGACAUCAGGAGGUUAGUGCAAUGGCAUAAGCCAGCUUGACUGCGAGCGUGACGGCGCGAGCAGGUGCGAAAGCAGGUCAUAGUGAUCCGGUGGUUCUGAAUGGAAGGGCCAUCGCUCAACGGAUAAAAGGUACUCCGGGGAUAACAGGCUGAUACCGCCCAAGAGUUCAUAUCGACGGCGGUGUUUGGCACCUCGAUGUCGGCUCAUCACAUCCUGGGGCUGAAGUAGGUCCCAAGGGUAUGGCUGUUCGCCAUUUAAAGUGGUACGCGAGCUGGGUUUAGAACGUCGUGAGACAGUUCGGUCCCUAUCUGCCGUGGGCGCUGGAGAACUGAGGGGGGCUGCUCCUAGUACGAGAGGACCGGAGUGGACGCAUCACUGGUGUUCGGGUUGUCAUGCCAAUGGCACUGCCCGGUAGCUAAAUGCGGAAGAGAUAAGUGCUGAAAGCAUCUAAGCACGAAACUUGCCCCGAGAUGAGUUCUCCCUGACCCUUUAAGGGUCCUGAAGGAACGUUGAAGACGACGACGUUGAUAGGCCGGGUGUGUAAGCGCAGCGAUGCGUUGAGCUAACCGGUACUAAUGAACCGUGAGGCUUAACCUU
rnacentral:rRNA from 1 species